AUGUGGGGUUGCACAGACAACUAGGAUGUUAGCUUGGAAGCAGCUAUUCAUUCAAAGAGUGCGUAAUAGCUCACUAGUCGAGUGACCCUGCGCCGAAAAUGUACCGGGGCUAAAACAUAUUACCGAAGCUGUGGAUACCUUUUAGGUAUGGUAGGAGAGCGUUCUAUGUGUGAAGAAGGUGUACCGUGAGGAGCGCUGGAACGCAUAGAAGUGAGAAUGCCGGUAUGAGUAGCGAAAGACAGGUGAGAAUCCUGUCCACCGUAUGACUAAGGUUUCCAGGGGAAGGCUCGUCCUCCCUGGGUUAGUCGGGACCUAAGGAGAGACCGAAAGGUGUAUCCGAUGGACAACAGGUUGAUAUUCCUGUACUAGAGUAUAUAGUGAUGGAGGGACGCAGUAGGCUAACUAAAGCGUGCGAUUGGAAGUGCACGUCUAAGCAGUGAGGUGUGAUAUGAGUCAAAUGCUUAUAUCUCUAACAUUGAGCUGUGAUGGGGAGCGAAGUUAAGUAGCGAAGUUAGUGAUGUCACACUGCCAAGAAAAGCUUCUAGCGUUAAUUAUACUCUACCCGUACCGCAAACCGACACAGGUAGUCGAGGCGAGUAGCCUCAGGUGAGCGAGAGAACUCUCGUUAAGGAACUCGGCAAAAUGGCCCCGUAACUUCGGGAGAAGGGGCGCUGGCUUUAAGUCAGCCGCAGUGAAUAGGCCCAAGCAACUGUUUAUCAAAAACACAGCUCUCUGCUAAAUCGUAAGAUGAUGUAUAGGGGGUGACGCCUGCCCGGUGCUGGAAGGUUAAGAGGAGCGCUUAGCAUUAGCGAAGGUGUGAAUUGAAGCCCCAGUAAACGGCGGCCGUAACUAUAACGGUCCUAAGGUAGCGAAAUUCCUUGUCGGGUAAGUUCCGACCCGCACGAAAGGCGUAAUGAUUUGGGCACUGUCUCGACAAUGCACCCGGUGAAAUUGAAAUACCAGUGAAGAUGCUGGUUACCUGCGCCAGGACGGAAAGACCCCAUGGAGCUUUACUCUAGCUUGAUACUGGGGUUCGGUAUUGCAUGUACAGGAUAGGUGGGAGACUGAGAAGAUGUGUCGCCAGAUGCAUCAGAGUCGAUGUUGGGAUACCACCCCUGCAGUACUGGGCUUCUAACCUGCAGCCGUGACCCGGCUGGGGGACAAUGUCUGGUGGGGAGUUUGACUGGGGCGGUCGCCUCCGAAAGAGUAUCGGAGGCGCUCAAAGGUUCCCUCAGAAUGGUUGGAAACCAUUCGAAGAGCGCAAAGGCAGAAGGGAGCUUGACUGCGACACCGACGGGUGGAGCAGGUACGAAAG
rnacentral:rRNA from 1 species